AUGUGCUGGACGCCCGCCACGGCCGCGUGCUCCUCCACACGCUCAGGGCAGCGCCUCGUCGUCUGGGACCCCGUCACGGGUGAGGAGUUCAAGAUCCCCCGCGUGCCGGCCUACGCGCUCGGCUUCAACGCGGCCGUGCUCUGCGCCGCGGUCGGCUGCGACCACCUCGACUGUCAUGGCGGACCCUUCCGUGUCGCCUUCGUGGGAUGCGGCGAACGUGGCAUCACGUUCGCCUGCACCUACCCGUCGGAGGCCGGUGCCUGGAGCCAGCGAGUUGAGAUCGAGCAGCCGGCGUUUGUUGACGGGCGACCGAGCGUCCUUGUGGGGAACACGCUCUACUUCACCUGCGACCCGUACCUCAAUUUCAAAAUGUUGGGGUACGACAUCGUCAGGCAGGAACUCUCGGUGAUCUGGCCGUCGUCCCAGCACGAAUACUACUCUUGCACCGUCCUCGUGAAAGCGGAGGAUGGCAGGCUGGGGUUCGCCGGCGUGCGGAAUGGCACGCUCUACCUCUGGUCGAUGAAGGAUGGCGCCGACGGAGAGGUGGAAUGGGUGCAGCGCAGAGUUAUCCAGCACAAGACAAUGCUCCGCACUCGUGGCCUCUCGACGCCACCUGAGGUCGUUGGCUUCGCGGACGGCCACGGACUCAUUUUCGUUAGGACAGGCAACACGGUAUUCUCCAUGGAGCUCAAGUCAGGCCAUGUCCGUAAGGUAUACACCUGCAGGUCAAGAAACUACAACGUCAUUGUUGUUCCCUACAUGAGCUUCUGCACUUCAGAUCGUGCUAUGGGCAAACUGCCAUCGCCAUGA
rnacentral:rRNA from 1 species